GACAGCUCUGAGAAGAGGCGCCCAUCCUGCGGGACGAGCGCAUCCAGGAGGACGACGGAAGGUACAACUUCGACGUCGAGACCGGAAACGGCAUCGCCAUCUCGCAGUCCGGAUCGCCCGUGUCCGAGGGCGCCAUCGCCAGCGCCGGACAGUUCUCCUACACCGCUCCUGACGGCACCCCCGUCAGCCUCAAGUUCGUGGCUGACGAGAACGGCUUCCAGCCCCAGUCCGACCUCCUGCCCGUGGCUCCCGAGUUCCCCCACCCAAUCCCCGACUUCGUCCUGAGACAGAUCGAGUUCGCCCAGCAGCAGGAGGCCGCCCGCGCCCGCGAGGGAGGAAGGUCUUACGCAUAAGGUCACACAUUUUACGAACAGGGUCACUGUCGCGUCCUCGGUGACGUGAGCCUUUCUCUCUCUCUCUCUCUCUCUCUCUCUCUCUCUCUCUCUCUCUCUCUCUCUCUCUCUCUCUCUCUCUCUCUCUCUCUCUCUCUCUCUCUCUCUCUCUCUCCCUUUCUCUCUUUUUUUUCUCUCUCUCUUUCUCACCAACGAAAAGUUCAUCCUAUUCGGAUACUUUCUCUUAUAUUUAUGUAUUUAUAUUUAUGGAAAAGAAAGUCCUUCGCCUGUAUCCGACGAUUCGAAUAAAAUAAGGAAUCAAA
rnacentral:lncRNA from 1 species